rnacentral:rRNA from 1 species
CCUACGGGGGGCAGCAGUGAGGAAUAUUGGUCAAUGGUCGGGAGCCUGAACCAGCCAAGUCGCGUGAAGGAUGACGGCCCUACGGGUUGUAAACUUCUUUUGUCAGGGAGCAAUUGAGUCCACGUGUGGGCUUAGCGAGAGUACCUGAAGAAAAAGCAUCGGCUAACUCCGUGCCAGCAGCCGCGGUAAUACGGAGGAUGCGAGCGUUAUCCGGAUUUAUUGGGUUUAAAGGGUGCGUAGGCGGAAUAUCAAGUCAGCGGUAAAAAUUCGGGGCUCAACCCCGUCGUGCCGUUGAAACUGAUGUU